rnacentral:tRNA from 1 species
GCCCAGGUGGUGGAAUGGUAGACACGUACGUUUGAGGUGCGUAUGCCUUCGGGUGUGUGGGUUCAAGUCCCAUCUUGGGCACCA